rnacentral:rRNA from 1 species
ACGAGCGGCGGACGGGUGAGUAAUGUCUGGGAAACUGCCUGAUGGAGGGGGAUAACUACUGGAAACGGUAGCUAAUACCGCAUAACGUCGCAAGACCAAAGAGGGGGACCUUCGGGCCUCUUGCCAUCAGAUGUGCCCAGAUGGGAUUAGCUAGUAGGUGGGGUAAUGGCUCACCUAGGCGACGAUCCCUAGCUGGUCUGAGAGGAUGACCAGCCACACUGGAACUGAGACACGGUCCAGACUCCUACGGGAGGCAGCAGUGGGGAAUAUUGCACAAUGGGCGCAAGCCUGAUGCAGCCAUGCCGCGUGUGUGAAGAAGGCCUUCGGGUUGUAAAGCACUUUCAGCGAGGAGGAAGGUGGUGAGCUUAAUACGCUCAUCAAUUGACGUUACUCGCAGAAGAAGCACCGGCUAACUCCGUGCCAGCAGCCGCGGUAAUACGGAGGGUGCAAGCGUUAAUCGGAAUUACUGGGCGUAAAGCGCACGCAGGCGGUUUGUUAAGUCAGAUGUGAAAUCCCCGGGCUCAACCUGGAACUGCAUUUGAAACUGGCAAGCUAGAGUCU